rnacentral:tRNA from 1 species
CAUUGAAUGGCUGAAAUUUUAAGCAUUGGUCUCUUAAACCACUCUAUAGUGUCUAUCACUUUCAAUGA